UAUCUCUGUAGAGUCUGCAUAUCAAUAAGCGGAGGAAAAGAAACUAACUAGGAUUCCCUCAGUAACGGCGAGUGAAGCGGGAAGAGCUCAAAUUUGAAAUCUUCAAGGUUCUACCUUGACGAAUUGUAGUUUAAAGAAGUGCUUUCUGUUGGAGUUUUGGUAAAAGUUCUUUGGAAUAGGACAUCAUAGAGGGUGAGAAUCCCGUAUUUGACCAUUAUUUCCAGCUUUGUGAUACACUUUCAAAGAGUCGGAUUGUUUGGGAGUGCAGUCCAAAAUGGGUGGUAAAUUUCAUCUAAAGCUAAAUAUUGGCGAGUGACCGAUAGCGAACAAGUACCGUGAGGGAAAGAUGAAAAGAACUUUGAAAAGAGAGUUAAACAGUACGUGAAAUUGUCAAAAGGGAAGCGUUUGACACCAGUGUUGUUUUCUCGAAAAUCAAUUAAAAAAGGUAGGAUUUUGUAUUGUUAUGACCUUAUCAGCUUACUGUACUCUUUUCUUGUCUUUUUUAAUGCACUUUUCGUUUAACAAGUCAACAUCAAUUUCUUUUGUUGUAAAAGGAGUCAUUGGAAGGUGGCUUUCUUUUCGGAUGAAAGUGUUUAUAGCCUUUGGCUUCUGCAAUCGGAGAGAUUGAGGUCUGCAGCGUAGAUCCUUCGGGGCUAGAUACAUUAGAUGCUAAGUUAUAGCUUUUUAUAGACAACUUGUUGACUAUGAUUAAGUCAUGUAGCUUACUCGUUUGCGCUAUUUUACCUACGCUUAGGAUGUUGACGAUCAGCUGAGCGCG
rnacentral:rRNA from 1 species